rnacentral:rRNA from 1 species
GUGUCAGCAGCCGCGGUAAUACGGAGGGUGCAAGCGUUAAUCGGAAUUACUGGGCGUAAAGCGCAUGCAGGUGGUUUGUUAAGUCAGAUGUGAAAGCCCGGGGCUCAACCUCGGAAUUGCAUUUGAAACUGGCAGGCUAGAGUACUGUAGAGGGGGGUAGAAUUUCAGGUGUAGCGGUGAAAUGCGUAGAGAUCUGAAGGAAUACCGGUGGCGAAGGCGGCCCCCUGGACAGAUACUGACACUCAGAUGCGAAAGCGUGGGGAGCAAACAGGAUUAGAAACCCCCGUAGUCC